rnacentral:rRNA from 1 species
GAUGAACGCUGGCGGCGUGCUUAACACAUGCAAGUCGAACGAAGCAAUGUUGUGGAAGCCUUCGGGUGGAAACGACAUUGACUGAGUGGCGGACGGGUGAGUAACGCGUGGGUAACCUGCCUCAUACAGGGGGAUAACAGUUGGAAACGACUGCUAAUACCGCAUAAGACAGCAGCUUCGCAUGAAGCAGUUGUAAAAGAUUUAUUGGUAUGAGAUGGGCCCGCGUCUGAUUAGCUAGUUGGUAAGGUAAUGGCUUACCAAGGCAACGAUCAGUAGCCGGCUUGAGAGAGUGAACGGCCACAUUGGGACUGAGACACGGCCCAAACUCCUACGGGAGGCAGCAGUGGGGAAUAUUGCACAAUGGGGGAAACCCUGAUGCAGCGACGCCGCGUGAGUGAAGAAGUAAUUCGUUAUGUAAAGCUCUAUCAGCAGGGAAGAAAAUGACGGUACCUGACUAAGAAGCCCCGGCUAACUACGUGCCAGCCGCCGCCGUAACAC